AAUACAUUUAAAGAAAAACACAAAUUGCCCACACGAUUUAUUCCAGUUUGUUUGUGAUCAAACUGGCGAAUUCAUUUACAAGCAAAUGUAGGUCACCUAUAAUAAAUAUGUAAAUUUUAUAGCUCAACCUCUUUCGAUAGGAAAACUAUUUAUAUAGCCUAUUCGUUGACAGCAUUUUCACAGAUCUUUAAGCCAUCUUUAUAUUUUUAUUCUAAUGUUAUCUUUAUCUGAUUUACGACUAUUUACAGAUAUUUCAAUACCAAAAUUACGAAAACGACUUUUUUAUUAUUAUUGCUAGACUUGCACCUAUUUACAAAAAUAAAUAAUAGAAUACGAGAAAUAUAUGACCAAAAGUUUAAACAUUAAUAAUGGUGUUCAAUUAGCAAAAUGGACUGUACGUAGAAGACACAUACUUUCAAGGCUACUUAUUCCCUCAGCGUUCACUUUGAAAUACCGAGGCAAGCAUGAGUUAUUCGUGGGAUUUAUUAAAAUUCAAGAUUCAUACGCGCGUAAGUCAUCAGAACAUUCAUCAGAAGAUAUAGAUGCAACUUUGUUUAUAGUUUGCUGGGCACGUCUUCAAAAUGAGACAAGAGAGGACUGCUAACAUUUUUCGAUUAAAUAAACGAAAUAACAAUUUGUAUACCAAAUCUAUUAAGUGAAAAUAAAAAUAACUAAUAUAUUCAUAAGGUUUUGUUUAUUUACUAACAAUCAAUUGUGAAGUGAAAUAUAUUGGUUUGAAUAAAAAAUCUACGUAUUAAA